AUAAAAUGUGGUCACCAUUUUCCUCUAAUCGAUAUGUUAGGUACUUCAUAUAUUAAGUAUAAUGAUUCAUUUUAAAUAGCAACUGCUUAGAAAACUAACGUGUGAAUAGUUAAAUCAACUUGUAUUCAAAAUGUGUGGGUGUUUCGUUGUGCUGGCACAAAUUGUGGUUUUCAUAUCUAAUUUAGUGAUAAUGCUUUUAGGUGGACUUGCAACGGGAGCUGGGGUCUUAAUCAAGGUUUUAUAGAUUCAAGUCUGGAAGCACUACAAAUUGAGGAUCUACCAGAUGUAUCUGAUUUGAAAGUAUUAGUAAUACCGCUUAUAGUGGCUGGUGUAGUAAUAUUCGUGUUUGGCAUUACUGGUUGCAUCGGAGCUACUUGCAAAGUUAUAUGCUGUCUGAUCUUGAACGUCGCGGGAUUUGUUAUCCUCGCUGUUAUGACAAUUUAUCUUCUAGUAAAAUGGAUACAGUUGUUAGCGCAAACUGAAUCAUUUAUAAAUGACUUACUGUCAGAAUAUCUAUUCAACAACAAUGCAGCACAGAAUGGAACUUUCCAAUUAAUUGAGUAUACGUUACGAUGCUGUGGAGUGAACGGAACGGAUUCGUAUGUUGCUGCUG